rnacentral:lncRNA from 1 species
GAAGACGCGCCUAUUAAGGCAGGCUCUAUGUGUGACGGGAAUGGGUGGGGCUCGGGAAGUAAAGUUAGAAAGAUAAUUUUGGACUAGCACCUCAAGUGCUCUCUUAGAAGGUUUGGCUAAUUCUAUAAAAAACGCUGGGAGUAGCAGAACAGCGGGAGAAGAUCUUUCACACUAAUAUUCUGGCGUUGGGGGAUGGGUGGGAGUGGAGGACUGUGAGCAAGAGAGGCCUUUGGUAAUGGAGAGCCUUGCCAGCUGUGGGGACAGACAAGAGGAGGAAAUCAAAAAUCAGAGAUAGAUAAAACAUGGUGAUAUUUGUCUGUGAGAGUAAGACAAAGGGAAGUAUCAAGGAUGGGUAAGACUUAACAGCCUAAGCAAGGAAAAAUUCCUUUUUACAGAAAUAUUCAUGUUGCCGACUAAUCUGGAGUCACAUGCUACUUCUUUAAGAGCUACAGAGGGGGAAGAAAUCAAUUAAAUUUUACUCUACCAUCCUCCCUAGCAAAUGCUUCCUAAAUAUAAAAUGUAUCGUCUUCAUGUUCCAUAAAGCGAAAUCAUAUGUCAAGAUAAAAGUGCAGCAAGUCACUAAGUAUUAUUUUUAAAGUUACCAAGCUCAUGACAAGCAUCAGUGUGCCUUGAUGUUCCCUUAAAGCCAUUGCACUGUAGCAAAUGGCAGAGACCAUAGAAGUGGACAUUGGAAUCCCAAAAUCAAGGACACAGGAUGACCAUGUCCCUCUCAAAUUCACCGUAAAUAGAAUUUCAGAGUCAGUAGGGAAUCCGCCCAUUACUUGUGGCUUAUUCACAUAAUAGAUGUGGGAAUAAAGGCUAGAAGAGCUGUCAUCCUGUUAUUCUUCAGCACUGAUAAUUUUAACAGUUUCACAUCUUUUUUUAUUUUUGAUGUACUUAUCCUUUAAAAAUUUCGGUGUAAUGCAGGACAGCUUUUCUUUGCUGGGAGAUAAACAGCCAGGGCAGCAGUGUAUAUGAAAGUCUUCCCUAAGUAACCAGGUGUCCCCAUCUCCCUUUCCCAGAGUCGUUUACAUAUUUACAUUUACAUCCCAUAUGCAGAGUCAUUUAUAAAUCUUACUCUGCUUUGUCAGUCCUGGAAGAAUGACAGCAAGGUCGUCCAGGAUAGGCACAGAAGUAUCUUCCUGGCUUCUCCACCCCUGUCUUGGUUCUGAACUUGAGCAUAAUUCCAACAGUCCAUAGCUGGCUCGCUGACUCUGAACCUCAGACCUGAGCCUUAGCCUACUCUAAAGAUCAAGCCAAAACUGAUAAGGUGUGUGUCUGCGGCUGCUCAUCAAAUAAUUCCUGCAGCUCCCCUGUCCUGCUGUGCUACCCCAGUUCUGUUUAAUUGGCAGGUCCUGAAUCCUGUCCCAACCUCAGUCUCUCCCUACCCUCCACAGGGCAUCACACACAACCUAUUACUUUUUAAAGCAUUUUUUAAUUGAAAAAGUCUUUUUCAAACAAUGGAUUUUGACCACAUUUUCCCCCAAUUCCUCGUAGAUUCUUCCUUUCCACUCACCCAACUUUAUAGU